ACAACAUCCGGGACCGUCGGUCUACCGAGCAAGAUCGCCGGCUCGGUGGAAGAUCUUCCCUUCGUCGU
rnacentral:pre_miRNA from 1 species